UACAGAGGGUGCGAACGUUGCUCGGAAUUACUGGGCGUAAAGCGCGUGUAGGCGGGCCAGUAAGUCAGGUGUGAAAUCCCCGAGCUCAACUCGGGAACUGCAUCUGAAACUCCUGGCCUUGAGUACUGGAGAGGGCGGCGGAAUUCCUGGUGUAGAGGUGAAAUUCGUAGAUAUCAGGAGGAACAUCAGUGGCGAAGGCGGCCGCCUGGACAGUGACUGACGCUGAGACGCGAAAGCGUGGGGAGCAAACAGG
rnacentral:rRNA from 1 species